AGGAGAUGAUAAACAAAAAAAGGUUUCUUUGAAUUAUUUAUUUAAUAAAGGAAGAAAAAGGUCAGCAGAAGAUUGAUUCAUGUCAGGCUCUGCAGCUACACCUGGUGUCCUAAAAUGUUCAUUACACAUAAAUACCUGCAAAUUACACGGCAAAUUACGUGCAAAAGA